UCUUUUCCUUUUUUUCCAGCAGCCGCGGUAAUACGUAGGUGGCAAGCGUUGUCCGGAAUUAUUGGGCGUAAAGAGCAUGUAGGCGGGCUUUUAAGUCCGACGUGAAAAUGCGGGGCUUAACCCCGUAUGGCGUUGGAUACUGGAAGUCUUGAGUGCAGGAGAGGAAAGGGGAAUUCCCAGUGUAGCGGUGAAAUGCGUAGAUAUUGGGAGGAACACCAGUGGCGAAGGCGCCUUUCUGGACUGUGUCUGACGCUGAGAUGCGAAAGCCAGGGUAGCAAACGGG
rnacentral:rRNA from 1 species